UACGUAGGGUGCAAGCGUUGCCCGGAUUUAUUGGGCGUAAAGGGCGCGUAGGCGGCUCCGCGCGUCAGGCGUGAAAUCUCCCGGCUUCACUGGGAGGGGACGUGUGAAACGGCGGGGCUGGAGCAAGGUAGGGGGCAGUGGAAUUCCCGGUGUAGUGGUGGAAUGCGUAGAGAUCGGGAGGAACACCAGUGGCGAAGGCGGCUGCCUGGACCUGUGCUGACGCUGAGGCGCGAAAGCGUGGGGAGCGAUCCGG
rnacentral:rRNA from 1 species